AUUAACGCUAGCGGCAGGCAUAAUACAUGCAAGUUGAACGGCAGCACAGGUAGCAAUACCGGGUGGCGAGUGGCGCACGGGUGCGUAACACGUAUGCAACCUACCCUAUACAGGCGAAUAACCUUUAGAAAUGAGGGCUAAUACGCCGUGGUAUUAUCUUGGGGCAUCUUGAGAUAAUUAAAGAUUUAUCGGUAUAGGAUGGGCAUGCGUCCCAUUAGUUAGUUGGUAGGGUAACGGCCUACCAAGGCGAUGCUGGGUAGGGG
rnacentral:rRNA from 1 species